CAGUCCUUUCAUUUCAGACAAUAGACGAUCUCAAAUGCACAAGAGCAGGUCGACGCUGAGGGUUUUAUGAUUCAUCUCCAUCAUCAGGUUAACUUACAGGAUUUGGAGGUGUUGCAACUGGGACAGAAAAUCCGGUACUUCUCCUGUCAAACUGAUUAUGUGUGGAGAUAUCUCACCCUUCAAUCCGCUUGAAGACAAGUCCCUGGGUUCACUGUAGCUGGAUGAAUUUGCUGAUCCCUAUUUUGUGUCAUAAGUUUCAAUACUACCAUUUACCUUUCAUAAAAAUUUCAAAAAUGUCAUUCGAGCAAACAUUAGUUAAUAUUUUGAAGGGAAAAUUGAUGUGACUGAAUCUAGAACGACCUUACAAUUAACGUAACAUUUUAUUUGAAUUAAGUCUAAAAAGAGAGGAAAUGUGAAAAAAGUUAUCGUUUAUAAAAGGAGAUGCAGACAAAAUUGGGUAGAUUGGAGAGAAGCAAACUUUGUUGACUAUGAAGAAAGAAAUUUUUUGGGGGCAAAAUUGGAGAUAUGAACUUUUUAUUACCAAUGGAGAAGCAACCAUGCUAUCAAUCUAGAUUCAAUCACAUCUACUUUUCAUUCAAAAUAUUAAUGUAUGUUUGUUUAAAGGAUAUUUUUGAAACGUUUAUGAAAUGUCAAGAGUAGUAUUGAAACUUUUGAAAGGUAGAAGUAUUUUUUAAACAAAUGGCAAAAUAUUCGCAGGUUAUGGAAAUUGAGAAAGUUACCCGAUUGAUCUUGAGCUUGGACAAGGAGUGCAAGAAAACUAUACAGGAACCACCUCAAUGUUGCAAUUUCCAUUAGACUCUCGCAACUUUGCUCUUGAAGAUUGGACAACAGAAGGUCCAAACUAGAACAACUAAGGAGAGUUGCUUCCAUGAAAAUUCAUCUACCUUUCUUGAAAAUUUGUGAUGGAUGAAACCAGAGGGACAAAUUCAAGACUCGAACCGAUUUAUCGGUUGUUAUCCUGGGAAUUCUCCAACACAGCCGAACAUUCCUUCAGUUCCAUCACUGCCUGGUUCUUGGUUGGCCUUUUGGAUGAAGAUUAUCAAUAUAGGGUCACAUGAAAAUGAUAGCUAGGAAUUUAGAAAUGAUUUAAUAUUGGAGUUUUGGAUAAAAAAGAUUAUGAAAAGUUUACUAACAUUAUUAUAAUUAUAUGCAAGUUUGAUUUGAUCAUAUUUUGAGGUCAAACAAUUGAUUGAAAGAAUGUCAGCUGUACUAUCAACAUUGGUAGUACUUUAUUAUUAGCAACA